GUAGUCAACCUGCCCUGGAGACAAGGACAACCCCGGGAAACUGGGAUUAAUCCGUGAUAGGUCAUCUCAUCUGGAAGGAGAGAUGGCUUAAAGGGGUACACGGGCUUUUUCCGCGAAUUUGCUCCAGGAUGGGACUGCGUCCGAUCAGGCUGUUGGCGGGGUAAUGGCCCACCAAACCUGUAACCGGUACGGGCCUUGAGAGAGGUGGCCCGGAGAUGGACACUGAGAGAAGGGUCCAGGUCCUACGGGGCGCAGCAGGCGCGAAACCUUCGCAAUGCGCGAAAGCGUGACGAGGUUAAUCCGAGUGACUCCCGCUGAGGGGGUCUUUUGUCAGCUGUAAAUAGGCAGGCGAAUAAGGGGAGGGCAAGCCUGGUGUCAGCCGCCGCGGUAAUACCAGCUCCUCGAGUGGUCGGGGCGAUUAUUGGGCCUAAAGCAUCCGUAGCCGGUUCCGUAGGUCCUCUGUUAAAUCCAACCGCUUAACGGUUGACCUGCAGAGGAUACCGCGGGACUAGGAGGCGGGAGAGGCGGACGGUACUCCGCGUGUAGGGGUAAAAUCCUUUGAUCCGCGGAAGACCACCAGUGGCGAAGGCGGUCCGCCAGAACGCGCUCGACGGUGAGGGAUGAAAGCUG
rnacentral:rRNA from 1 species